GAAUCUUUCUCAAUGGGGGAAACCCUGAAGGAGCGACGCCGCGUGGGGGAUGAAGGGCUUCGGCCUGUAAACCCCUGUCAUUCGCGAACAAGGUCGGCUGUUGAAUAGACAGCCGGAUUGAUGGUCGCGGACGAGGAAGGGACGGCUAACUCUGUGCCAGCAGCCGCGGUAAUACAGAGGUCCCAAGCGUUGUUCGGAUUCACGGGGCGUAAAGGGUGCGUAGGUGGUGGGGUAAUUUCGAUGUGAAAGCUCCGAGCUCAACUCGGAAAUGGCAUUGAAAACUACCCUGCUCGAGGGUUGGAGGGGGGACUGGAAUUCUCGGUGUAGCAGUGAAAUGCGUAGAUAUCGAGAGGAACACCAGUGGCGAAGGCGAGUCCCUGGACAACUCCUGACACUGAGGCACGAAAGCUAGGGGAGCAAACAGG
rnacentral:rRNA from 1 species